GAUGAACGCUGGCGGCGUGCCUAACACAUGCAAGUCGAGCGAAGCACUUACUUUAGAUUUCUUCGGAAUGACGAAGUUUGUGACUGAGCGGCGGACGGGUGAGUAACGCGUGGGCAACCUGCCCUGUACAGGGGGAUAACAGUUAGAAAUGACUGCUAAUACCGCAUAAGCCCACAGCUUCGCAUGAAGCAGUGGGAAAAACUCCGGUGGUACAGGAUGGGCCCGCGUCUGAUUAGCCAGUUGGUAAGGUAACGGCUUACCAAGGCGACGAUCAGUAGCCGACCUGAGAGGGUGACCGGCCACAUUGGGACUGAGACACGGCCCAAACUCCUACGGGAGGCAGCAGUGGGGAAUAUUGCACAAUGGGGGAAACCCUGAUGCAGCGACGCCGCGUGAGCGAUGAAGUAUUUCGGUAUGUAAAGCUCUAUCAGCAGGGAAGAAAGUGACGGUACCUGACUAAGAAGCCCCGGCUAACUACGUG
rnacentral:rRNA from 1 species